AUGGCUCAAUCCUUUAACUUCUUCUUCAUUUUUCACCAGCGUGGCUCCAUCCUCCGGGUGUCUGCGCCACACCUCAUCAUCACCAUCCAUUAUUCCACCAAGGUUUCAACCUUUUUCGUCUCAAGCAGCUCACCAUCACCAUCUGAUUUUAGGUUCGAGUACGUCAUUGUCCGUCUCAUUCAGAUGCGAAUACGAAGAAAGAGCGACACGAAUAGGGAAGGAUUAGAGAUUGAGGUUUACCUCCCAGAGAAAAUCCAGUGGUUCUUCAAAGUAGCGAAUUCGAGAGAAAUCUUCGAAGAAUCAGGAGGAGAUUGGCGAUGA